ACGCUGAUGUGACACGUG
rnacentral:snRNA from 1 species